GAGGCACUGUGCAAACCCCUAGCUUAGGCAGAGGCAGUCCCUGCCCUGAAGAGCUUACAGGCUAUUUUAUGCUCGUUGCACAAGGUGUCUUUGUCUGCCGCUGGCUUUGCGUUUCUUGCAGCCUGUCUAGUGGUUAUGUUUGUUGCCGUCACUUUGCUAAAUUAACUGUAACGUUUUGAACUUAACUCAGAAAAUGUUGUUUAAAAACGAUGGGAGACUCUGAAAGCAAAUCUGCUGGGGCCAGUUUGUGUGUGCUCCUCUCUCCAGGACCCUCUGGGCUGGUCUGAGAGUCACCGAGGUGCUUGUAGCACAGCAGCCCCCUCGCGUUCUCAGUGACGCUCGGAAAUGUAGGCAUCUCGAGCCUCCGCACUUCCUGGCAGGGGGUUGUUUUAUCAUAGACAUUUGCUGUCUCUCUGAGCCGCUUGCAUGUUCUGCUGGAAACAAGCCAGACUGGGUGAUGCCAAUCUGAUUGGAAAGGACAGAAAAGAGAGCGAGUUGGGGGAACGCCAGGAUGAAGCUACAGCUUGCCCUGCCUGUUUUGGGGCUCCUGCUCUGUGCGGCUGACACCAUGGCGCAGGAUAGCGCUUUCAGAUUGGAGGAUAACCGUAAGUUGAUUUUACCAUCAAUGUUUUUAGCCAUAAUAAACAUCUCAAAAUUGCUGCUGCUAAAAUUGAUCCUACCAAUGCUAACCGCUCAGAGGGAAUUUAAAACAAGGGGCAUCUUUAAUCACUAAGAGCUUAUGCCCAUUUGUCUGAGCGCCCGUAUGAGUGUGAGCGUGCAAGUGUGCAUCUGGGCCUAACCCAGAACCCACUGAAGUCAAUGGGAGACUUUCCAUUGACUCCAGUGGGUGCUGAGCCAGUCCCUACCUGCGUGUCUGCCUCUCUGUGUGUUGGGUCAUAGAAAAUGUCUUUACUUCUUCUUUUUAAAAAUACAGAUCCAGAAAACUUCAUACCUGCUGUAGCAGGGUGGACACCUGCUCCUGCCUGGAAGGGCCUGAGAUAGCCCAGGGAGCAGGCAGCGUGAAGGCUGAGCUGCCUGGGGGAAGUGGCUGCAGCUGUGCCACGCCCCAAUCAGGCCACAGCUGGCCUGUAUAAAGAGGCUGGGAGCUAGAAACUAAGAGUUUCUCUCUGUGUUUAGAGAGAGAAAGGUCUGGCUGUAGGGAGCGAGACAUAGGGUACUUGUAGUGGAGCAGGGGAGCUCCAGCCUGGAAAGCCC
rnacentral:lncRNA from 1 species